UUCGCCAAGGAACUACGAGCAAAAGCUUAAAACCUAAAGGACUUGGCGGUGCUUUAGACCCACCUAGAGGAGCCUGUUCUAUAACCGAUAACCCCCGUUAAACCUCAUCUUCUUUUGUUUAAUUCCGCCUAUAUACCGCCGUCGUCAGCUUACCCUGUGAAGGUUAAUUAGUAAGCAAAAUUGAUUUUAUCCUAAACGCCAGGUCGAGGUGUAGCAUAUGAGAAGGAAAGAAAUGGGCUACAUUUUCUAUUACAGAAUAUUACGGAAAUUGUCAUGAAACAGUACAUUAAAGGAGGAUUUAGCAGUAAGCAGAGAACAGAGAGCUCC
rnacentral:rRNA from 1 species